GACAGAGGAUGCAAGCGUUGUCCGGAAUUAUUGGGCGUAAAGAGCUCGUAGGCGGUCAGUCGCGUCUGCUGUGAAAACUCGGGGCUUAACUCCGGGCCUGCAGUGGGUACGGGCAGACUAGAGUGCGGUAGGGGAGACUGGAAUUCCUGGUGUAGCGGUGAAAUGCGCAGAUAUCAGGAGGAACACCGGUGGCGAAGGCGGUUACCUGGAGCUUUGCUGACGCCUGAUGCGCGAAAGCGUGGGGAGCGAUCCGG
rnacentral:rRNA from 1 species